rnacentral:rRNA from 1 species
GAUGAAUGCUAGCGGCAGGCUUAAUACAUGCAAGUCGUGGGGCAGCAUGAGUAGCAAUACUUGAUGGCGACCGGCAAACGGGUGCGGAACACGUACACAACCCUCCGAUAAGUGGGGAAUAGCCCAGAGAAAUUUGGAUUAAUACCCCGUAACAUAUAGAGUAGGUAUCUUCUUUAUAUUAUAGCUUCGGCGCUUAUUGAUGGGUGUGCGUCUGAUUAGGUAGUUGGCGGGGUAACGGCCCACCAAGCCUACGAUCAGUAGCUGAUGUGAGAGCAUGAUCAGCCACACGGGCACUGAGACACGGGCCCGACUCCUACGGGAGGCAGCAGUAAGGACUAUUGGACAAUGGGCGAAAGCCUGAUCCAGCCAUGCCGCGUGAAGGAUUAAGGUCCUCUGGAUUGUAAACUUCUUUUAUUUGGGACGAAAAAAGGGAAUUCUUUCCCACUUGACGGUACCAAGUGAAUAAGCACCGGCUAACUCCGUGCCAGCAGCCGCGGUAA